UACAGAGGGUGCGAGCGUUGUCCGGAAUUACUGGGCGUAAAGGGCGCGUAGGUGGCUUGGUAAGUCGGGGGUGAAAGUCAGCGGCUCAACCGCUGGACUGCCUUCGAGACUGCCUGGCUUGAGCAUGGUAGAGGCUGGCGGAAUUCCCGGUGUAGCGGUGGAAUGCGUAGAGAUCGGGAAGAACAUCGGUGGCGAAGGCGGCCAGCUGGGCCAUUGCUGACGCUGAGGCGCGACAGCGUCGGGGAGCAAACAGGAUUG
rnacentral:rRNA from 1 species